CCCUACGGGACGCAGCAGUGGGGAAUAUUGCACAAUGGGGGAAACCCUGAUGCAGCGACGCCGCGUGAGCGAUGAAGUAUCUCGGUAUGUAAAGCUCUAUCAGCAGGGAAGAAAGUGACAGUACCUGACUAAGAAGCCCCGGCUAACUACGUGCCAGCAGCCGCGGUAAUACGUAGGGGGCAAGCGUUAUCCGGAUUCACUGGGCGUAAAGGGAGCGUAGACGGCGAAGAAAGUCUGAAGUGAAAGCCCGCGGCUCAACCGCGGAAUGGCUUUGGAAACUUUUUUGCUGGAGUACCGGAGAGGUA
rnacentral:rRNA from 1 species